UUUUUCGAAUGUUUGAAAGCAUAGGAAAGAAAAAAAGGAAAAAAAAAGCAUCAAAAUUAACAACGAUAAUUGUUCGAUCCGCGCACCGGCUCGCCCACCCGAUCCACAUGUAAUCAUGACGUCAUUCGCAUCAGCCUUGCCGGAGGUCGUGACAUAACCCGGGAAACGCGUUCCACGGGCCGCCGGUAACGAUAUUGUAAUAUAAAUAAUUGCGUUAGUAUCGACGCGUCGCUGCUGUCAUUCCUGUUUGUUUGUUGUCGGUCCGAUUAUUGUCGAAUCCGCGACGAUACACGCCGUACUCGCGUUGUUGAUCGCAAACACCGCGAGUUUUGUCGGGCGAUUUCCGUUGCCGGCGAAAAGAGAAAGAAAACGAUUGUCGUUUCCGCGGAAAACAAAAACAGAAAAAAAAAAAAAAAAACAAAAAGAAGAAGUUUGGGAACCAACGGUUUUGAUCCGCGUUGGUACAACGUGCAAACGUUUAGUUCAAUCUAGUGCACAACGUAACCCACAUAUAUUGUAACCUAUAUCCAAUACCGAUAGUUCGAUAACAGCAUGAAAAAUAUUGCGAAGAGCGAAAGAAAUAUUAAAGAGAUGAAAAACUGCCGACAAAGCAAUUAAAAAAAUAAUAAAUAAAUCUAAUGAAAUUAGUAGGUACGCUUUUAUUUUAUUAAAACGGUUGCAUUUAUUUAAUUACGCGAUUAUUUAAACUUUUACCGCAUUAAUUAUAAAUAUAAUCGACUCAUAAUUACUUUAUUAUUACGUUUACCUGUUAGGUGUUAUUAAAUUAUUUCACCGUGACCUUUUGUAAUGUUUUUUAAUGGCUAUUGUUGUGUGAUUUUUUUUUAAAAGGAAAAAAAUGAAUACAUUAUUGUCUUAACGUUCACGCGUGGACAGUAACGAAUUGUUAUUGCUACGAGGUGAUUCUUUAGGUGCACGGCCCCCGGAACAAUGAUAACCGACGGAAACGUCUGUUUACAAAAUAGACCUCGUCGGAAACGGGAAUCCGUGGCGUUUUCGUUUUCGGCGGAAAAACGCGAAUUAGUACCAUCUAUCUGUUAUUUUUUUUUUAUCUAUUUACACGGUUUUUACGGGAAACUAUCGUUAACCAGCAUAACCGGCGUUGACACUUCAGCUGUAGCGAUGUUCGGGGUUUCUGCGGGCUGAACAUAUUUUCUACAGUUGGUAUAAUUACGAGGGUCGAGCCGGUCACGUUUUAAAAUCCCUCGAGAGAAUCAACAAGACCAACGAGGACACGCACGCAACGGCAGCGGUUUUUGACAAAAUCGGUUUUGUUUUUGUUUUUUUUUUAAAAAAAAAGGUGUAAUUUUUAGGCUCAUAUAAAAAUGUGUAACGAUAAAACCAGGGCAACAUCUUAUUGUAACCGAAAUGAACUAUUGUGUAAUCAUUAAAGAAUUUAAAAUGUUUACAAAUUAAAACCAAU